UGGGGAAUAUUGGACAAUGGGCGCAAGCCUGAUCCAGCAAUGCCGCGUGAGUGAUGAAGGCCUUAGGGUUGUAAAGCUCUUUCGCACGCGACGAUGAUGACGGUAGCGUGAGAAGAAGCCCCGGCUAACUUCGUGCCAGCAGCCGCGGUAAUACGAAGGGGGCUAGCGUUGUUCGGAAUUACUGGGCGUAAAGGGCGCGUAGGCGGCCUGUUUAGUCAGAAGUGAAAGCCCCGGGCUCAACCUGGGAAUAGCUUUUGAUACUGGCAGGCUUGAGUUCCGGAGAGGAUGGUGGAAUUCCCAGUGUAGAGGUGAAAUUCGUAGAUAUUGGGAAGAACACCGGUGGCGAAGGCGGCCAUCUGGACGGACACUGACGCUGAGGCGCGAAAGCGUGGGGAGCAAACAGGAUUAGAUACCCUGGUAGUCCACGCCCGUAAACGAUGAAUGCUAGACGUCGGGGUGCAUGCACUUCGAUGUCGCCGCUAACGCAUUAAGCAUUCCGCCUGGGGAGUACGGCCGCAAGGUUAAAACUC
rnacentral:rRNA from 1 species